GCAAUAUGAGAUGACAAAAACACAUUUGGUGCUUAUUUUUCAGUCAGGUAUUUUCUGACAAAAGCUUCUAAGGAGGCUAAGAAGAAGACUAAACAACACAUGGAAUACACAUCACUGUUUGCUUAUAUGUAAAUAGUAUAAAAUGCUUAUAGUUCUCCCAUAUGUGAUGUUACUGAUGUAAAGAAUGCAUGUAAAGAUCAACCAUUUUUUGGUUACUUCAUUA